rnacentral:tRNA from 1 species
CCAUCACCUGGGCGAUGUGCUUGCUUCGAGCGAAAGCAAGUUAACUAAUGGACGAAUGAGCAUGGUCGUGCUGAGUCAAUCUGUGAUAGG